GAUGAAGAACGCAGCGAAAUGAGAUAAUUAAUGUGAAUUGCAGAAUUCCGUGAAUCAUCGAGUCUUUGAACGCACAUUGCGCCUCAUGGCAUUCCGUGAGGCAUGCCCAUCUCAGCGUUAGAAAAUAUUCUCAAAUUUUAGUUUUGUGCUAAAAUUUGGAUCAUGUCAAAGAAGCUAUUACUAUUAUUGUGAUCGCUCUUUGGAAAUUGAUAGGUCUUUGAGUUGCUACUCAUAGAACGUGAUGAAUCUUUCUUCGUUCUAUUGUAAUUCACUCUGGUAGUCCUAAAACUUGUAUGCCUGUGGCAUAUCUUGUAAUUUGACCUGAGAUUGGGUAGGGAUACCCGCUGAACUUAAGCAUAUCAAUAAGCGGAGUA
rnacentral:misc_RNA from 1 species